rnacentral:rRNA from 1 species
AGAGUUUGAUCCUGGCUCAGAAUGAACGCUGGCGGCGUGCUUAACACAUGCAAGUCGAACGCGAACGUCACUUCGGUGGCUAGUAGAGUGGCGAACGGGUGAGUAACACGUGGACAACCUGCCCGGAUGUGGGGGACAACUUUUGGAAACGAAAGCUAAUACCGCAUUCGCUCGGAGAUCGCAUGGUCUCCGUGGAAAGGCCGCUUCGGCGGUCGCAUCCGGAGGGGUCCGCGGCUGAUUAGCUGGUUGGUGGUGUAACGGCCUACCAAGGCGACGAUCAGUAGCCGGCCUGAGAGGGCGAUCGGCCACACUGGAACUGAUACACGGUCCAGACUCCUACUGCAGGCAGCAGUGGGGCAAUAUUGUACAAUGUGCGAAAGCAUGAUCCAGCAACGCCGCGUGGAGGAUGACGUCCUUCGGGGUAGUAACUCCUGUCAGGUGGAACGAAAAGCUCUGUCUAAAAAACAGAAGUGUAUUACGUACCCCCCAAAGGAAGCCCCCGGGUUAACUCCGUGCCAGCAGCCGCGGUAAUACGGAGGGGGCAAGCGUUAUUCGGAAUUAUUGGGCGUAAAGGGCGCGUAGGCGGCUUGACAAGUCAGGGGUGAAAUCCCUCGGCUCAACCGGGGAACUGCCUCUGAAACUGUCAAGCUUGAGUCCGGGAGAGGGUAGUGGAAUUCCCAGUGUAGGGUGAUCCAUAGGUAAUGCUAAUUGGAGACCGGGGGAAGCGCCACUGACCGUCUGAGUAGCGAAUUGGGGCACGGAUAGAUCCUGUUUCCCCCCUUAAACGAUGGCAUGGUGCUGCGGGUUCAACCCUGCAGUCCUUAGGAACCCUUAAUUUUCCCCCUGGGAGUACGGUGCAAGGCUGAACUCAAAGGAUGACGGGGGCCCGCACAAGCGUGGAGCAUGUGGUUUAUUCGAUGCAACGCGCAGACCUUACCUGGGCUUGAACUGUAGAGGACCGUCCGAGAGACCGGACUUCUCCUUCGGGAGCUUCUAUAGAGGUGCUGCAUGGCUGUCGUCAGCUCGUGUCGUGAGAUGUUGGGUUAAGUCCCGCAACGAGCGCAACCCCUACCCUUAGUUGCCAGCGGUUCGGCCGGGAACUCUAAGGGGACUGCCCCGGAAAUCGGGGAGGAAGGUGGGGAUGACGUCAAGUCCUCAUGGCCUUUAUGUCCAGGGCUACACACGUGCUACAAUGGGCGGUACAAAGGGUUGCCAGACCGUGAGGUUGAGCUAAUCCCGUAAAACCGUCCUCAGUUCGGAUUGCAGUCUGCAACACGACUGCAUGAAGUUGGAAUCGCUAGUAAUCCCAGAUCAGCAUGCUGGGGUGAAUACGUUCCCGGGCCUUGUACACACCGCCCGUCACAUCACGAAAGUUGGCUGUACCGGAAGCCGGUGGGCUAACCCGCAAGGGAGGCAGCUGUCCAUGGUAUGGUCGGCAAUUGGGGUGAAGUCGUAACAAGGUAGCCGUA